UAUUAAUAUUUUUAUUUUAUAGAUAGAGCCCUGAGGCACAGAGAGAUCACUCAGCUAUUAAGUGGUACUAUCAGGAUUCAAUUCAGAGCAGCCAGCUCCAGAGCCCACACUGUUAAAAACGAGGAUCCUGGAGUCAACAGCCUGGCUUCACAUUCUGGCUUCAUCUACAACACUGCGGUUAGUUCCUGGCCCCCCUGGGAUGAACUUGAUGCUUCUCACUACAGCACUGGGCUUCCCAGGUGGCUCAGUAGUAAAGAAUCCACCUCCAAUGCAGAAGACAUGGGUUCAGUCCCUGGGAUGGGAAGAUUCCCUGG
rnacentral:lncRNA from 1 species